rnacentral:rRNA from 1 species
UUGCAGCAUUUGCUCACGGGCUGCUCCUUCUCCCGCCAGGUGUGGCACGAGGUUCUCUCCUGGUGCCGAUCCACCGCCACGAUCCCGAGACACGACGACGAGUUUGCCGACUGGCUCACCACUGCCAUCGCCGACUCUCCGCGCUGUCUUCGACGCGGGCUCGCCUUCGUCGCCAUCCUCACUGCCAGGUGGCUCUGGAAGCACCGCAACGGUAGCACUUUCGACGGCUAUUGCCCCUCCGUUUGCCACGCCGUCACCGCGAUCAGAGAUGAGGCAAGACUCUGGGCACACGCGGGCGCCACGCACUUGGCGAAGAUCAUCCCGGAGACGUAG